rnacentral:lncRNA from 1 species
GGAAUUUGCCCACAGCCACUCAGCUGGCAAGCGGCUGCGCUGGGACUUUUAAUCCUGCCCAGACCUCAGCCACACCCCUCACCCUCUCCACGGCCUCCCACGAAGGUCGCACGCGGAAGGUGCGGCUGGGGCCUGGCUUGUCGCCCCGCUUGGCCCGAGCGCCCGAACCCCGGGAGGUGCUCCCCCCCAAGUUACCCUGCAGCAGCUCGGGACACCGGGGGAUCCGCGCGGGGGGACCUGCGGCCACAGGUAACAGCGGGUGACCGCGCUCUUGCGGGUCGCGCCGCCCGCCGGGCCCGGCACGAGGGAGGGCGGCUCCGGCCGGACAGUGGCCUUUCCUCCCGGGGGAACCAACCUGCUGAGGGCGGCCCCGCGCUCCUUCCUGUCCCACCCACCGCGGUCCGGGCUCGGCGGCCGCUCGGCGCGGGGUCCCGGGCGCGGCCUGGGCGAGCGAAUCGCAGCCGCUCCCACCCGGGCGAGUUCAAAAGGACGCGCGGCGCCCGGCCCUGCCCCGCCGCCCGUCGGACUGGAAAGGUGAGCGCGCGGCCGGGGAGCCCGGGAUCGCACUCGGCAGCUGGAACCGGACAGGGGCGGGGACGCGCGGCUGCGGGGGACCCUCGACGGCCGCGGGGGAGCGGGCACGGGGUCCUCGGGGAGCGGGGCGGACCCUCUGGCCGGCUCCGCGGGGCUCCAGGUAACGCAGGUGGCCUGGGGCCCGGAUUGCUUCGGGCGGAACCCGGUCGGCUGCAACCCUUGCCCAACUUUCCCAGGCCUGGUAAAAGGGGGCGGCCUGGGGAAAGGGUCGCCAAAGUUAUGAGUCUCAGUUACAUCCUGGAGGGGAUCUGCUCUUGGGGAGGGAUUUGCUUUUGGAAGUUGAUGAAAUCCUCGGGGAGAACCAAAAAGGAAGAAUGGGGACACAUCCAGGUGGAAGGGACUCAGGAAAACCUGGCGCCGCGGGCUCUCCUGACAUUUCCCGGUCGUGCAACCUCAGGACCCCAUCCACGGCGUUUUCUGUUCUUUCCAUAG